GCCUACGGGGGGCAGCAGUAGGGAAUCUUCCACAAUGGGCGAAAGCCUGAUGGAGCAACGCCGCGUGGGUGAAGAAGGUCUUCGGAUCGUAAAACCCUGUUGUUAGAGAAGAAAGUGCGUGAGAGUAACUGUUCACGUUUCGACGGUAUCUAACCAGAAAGCCACGGCUAACUACGUGCCAGCAGCCGCGGUAAUACGUAGGUGGCAAGCGUUAUCCGGAUCUAUUGGGCGUAAAGGGAACGCAGGCGGUCUUUUAAGUCUGAUGUGAAAGCCUUCGGCUUAACCGGAGUAGUGCAUUGGAAACU
rnacentral:rRNA from 1 species